GGCGUGCAUUUAUCAAACCAACCACCGGCCGCGUCUUCGGGCGCGUUCGCCUUGGUGACUCUGGAUAACUUUGCGGAUCGCACGGUCUAGCACCGGCGACGGAUCAUUCAAGUGUCUGCCCUAUCAACUUUCGUCGGUACGGUAUUUGCCUACCGAGGUUCUUACGGGUGACGGGGAAUCAGGGUUCGAUUCCGGAGAGGGAGCCUGAGAAACGGCUACCACAUCCAAGGAAGGCAGCAGGCGCGCAAAUUACCCAUUCCCGACGCGGGGAGGUAGUGACGAAAAAUAACAAUGCAGGACUCGUUCGAGGCCCUGUAAUUGGAAUGAGUACACUUUAAAAGCUUUAACGAGUAUCCAUUGGAGGGCAAGUCUGGUGCCAGCAGCCGCGGUAAUUCCAGCUCCAAAAGUAUAUAUUUAAGUUGUUGCGGUUAAAAAGCUCGUAGUUGGAUUUUGGGCGCAGGCGGCCGGUCCGUCGCAAGGCGUGUACUGGACGUCCUGGCCUUCCCUCCGGUUCUCCGCCGGUGCUCUUGACUGAGUGUGGGCGGCGGCCGGAACGUUUACUUUGAAAAAAUUAGAGUGUUCAAAGCAGGCUCUCGAGCCUGGAUAAUGGUGCAUGGAAUAAUGGAAUAGGACCUCGGUUCUAUUUUGUUGGUUUUCGGAGCGCGAGGUAAUGAUUAAGAGGGA
rnacentral:ncRNA from 1 species